rnacentral:misc_RNA from 1 species
UUAAAAAUGCAUCAUAAGAUCUCACUGCAAUAAUUAUGGUUUUCUUCUUUAAUAGUUUUUGUUUCUUAGUCUUGUACAGGUAAUGACUUAAAUCAAAACACAACUUCAAUGUAUGGUGAUCUCAUAGCCAAAAGAGUGCUUCCCAAAGAGCAAUAGCUUCUACAGGCCUGGAAGAAAAUUGGCCCUGCUUAAAAUCAGAAAAAGCUGUAACAAAGUGUCUCCUGGAAGCACCACCAAAAGCCAAACUUUACUUCACCUUUCAACAUAGCACCAUUAAUUAAUAUUACAUUAAAAUAACCAAUUAAAUUUUAAUUUUCAUUAAAAUAAAAUGCUUAGUUCUUUGAGUCUAUGAAAAUGAGUGAUUGAUGCUGCCUUAGUGUUUACAGAAUUUUCUUGGAUCAAGUACAAGUUAUAAAUGAUAGAAAUGUAUUUUUAUGCUUGUAUGCA